UACAGAGGUCCCAAGCGUUGUUCGGAUUCACUGGGCGUAAAGGGUGCGUAGGUGGUGAGGUAAGUCGGAUGUGAAAGCUCGGAGCUCAACUCCGAAAUGGCAUUGGAAACUACCUUGCUCGAGGGUUGGAGGGGGGACUGGAAUGCUUGGUGUAGCAGUGAAAUGCGUAGAGAUCGUAAGGAAGACCAGUGGCGAAGGCGGGGCUCUGGACAGUUCCUGACACUGAGGCACGAAGGCCAGGGGAGCAAACGGG
rnacentral:rRNA from 1 species